rnacentral:rRNA from 1 species
CCUUGGGGGCGGGCCUAACACAUGCAGUCGAGCGGUAGAGAGAAGCUUGCUUCUCUUGAGAGCGGCGGACGGGUGAGUAAUGCCUAGGAAUCUGCCUGGUAGUGGGGGAUAACGCUCGGAAACGGACGCUAAUACCGCAUACGUCCUACGGGAGAAAGCAGGGGACCUUCGGGCCUUGCGCUAUCAGAUGAGCCUAGGUCGGAUUAGCUAGUUGGUGAGGUAAUGGCUCACCAAGGCGACGAUCCGUAACUGGUCUGAGAGGAUGAUCAGUCACACUGGAACUGAGACACGGUCCAGACUCCUACGGGAGGCAGCAGUGGGGAAUAUUGGACAAUGGGCGAAAGCCUGAUCCAGCCAUGCCGCGUGUGUGAAGAAGGUCUUCGGAUUGUAAAGCACUUUAAGUUGGGAGGAAGGGCAGUAAAUUAAUACUUUGCUGUUUUGACGUUACCGACAGAAUAAGCACCGGCUAACUCUGUGCCAGCAGCCGCGGUAAUACAGAGGGUGCAAGCGUUAAUCGGAAUUACUGGGCGUAAAGCGCGCGUAGGUGGUUUGUUAAGUUGGAUGUGAAAUCCCCGGGCUCAACCUGGGAACUGCAUUCAAAACUGACAAGCUAGAGUAUGGUAGAGGGUGGUGGAAUUUCCUGUGUAGCGGUGAAAUGCGUAGAUAUAGGAAGGAACACCAGUGGCGAAGGCGACCACCUGGACUGAUACUGACACUGAGGUGCGAAAGCGUGGGGAGCAAACAGGAUUAGAUACCCUGGUAGUCCACGCCGUAAACGAUGUCAACUAGCCGUUUGGGAGCCUUGAGCUCUUUAGUGGCGCAGCUAACGCAUUAAGUUGACCGCCUGGGGGAGUACGGCCGCAAGGUUAAAACUCAAAUGGAAUUGACGGGGGCCCGCACAAGCGGUGGGAGCAUGUGGGUUUAUUUCGAAGCAACGCAAGAACCUUACCAGGGCCUGACUCCAAUGAACUUUCCAGAAAUGGAUUGGUGCCUUUCGGAACUUGAGACAGGUGCUGCAUGGCUGUCGUCAGCUCCGUGUCUGAGAUGUUGGGUAAGUCCCCGUGCGAUCGCACCCUU